rnacentral:rRNA from 1 species
AUUGAACGCUGGCGGCAUGCCUUACACAUGCAAGUCGAACGGCAGCAUAGGAGCUUGCUCCUGAUGGCGAGUGGCGAACGGGUGAGUAAUAUAUCGGAACGUGCCCUAGAGUGGGGGAUAACUAGUCGAAAGACUAGCUAAUACCGCAUACGAUCUACGGAUGAAAGUGGGGGAUCGCAAGACCUCAUGCUCCUGGAGCGGCCGAUAUCUGAUUAGCUAGUUGGUGGGGUAAAAGCCUACCAAGGCAACGAUCAGUAGCGGGUCUGAGAGGACGACCAGCCACACUGGGACUGAGACACGGCCCAGACUCCUACGGGAGGCAGCAGUGGGGAAUUUUGGACAAUGGGGGCAACCCUGAUCCAGCAAUGCCGCGUGAGUGAAGAAGGCCUUCGGGUUGUAAAGCUCUUUUGUCAGGGAAGAAACGGUGGUAGCUAAUAUCUACUACUAAUGACGGUACCUGAAGAAUAAGCACCGGCUAACUACGUGCCAGCCGCCGCCGUAAGAC